rnacentral:rRNA from 1 species
GAUGAACGCUGGCGGCGUGCCUAAUACAUGCAAGUCGAGCGAACAGACGAGGAGCUUGCUCCUCUGACGUUAGCGGCGGACGGGUGAGUAACACGUGGAUAACCUACCUAUAAGACUGGGGUAACUUCGGGAAACCGGAGCUAAUACCGGAUAAUAUAUUGAACCGCAUGGUUCAAUAGUGAAAGACGGUUUUGCUGUCACUUAUAGAUGGAUCCGCGCCGCAUUAGCUAGUUGGUAAGGUAACGGCUUACCAAGGCGACGAUGCGUAGCCGACCUGAGAGGGUGAUCGGCCACACUGGAACUGAGACACGGUCCAGACUCCUACGGGAGGCAGCAGUAGGGAAUCUUCCGCAAUGGGCGAAAGCCUGACGGAGCAACGCCGCGUGAGUGAUGAAGGUCUUCGGAUCGUAAAACUCUGUUAUUAGGGAAGAACAAAUGUGUAAGUAACUAUGCACGUCUUGACGGUACCUAAUCAGAAAGCCACGGCUAACUACGUG